GCGGCAAAUCGAUGCGACCAGCUCCUGCUGAAUCCCCCAGGUCCGGAAGGAAGCAAGGGUAAGCGGUUGUAGCGGUGCGAUGUCGGUUUGCCCUUUU
rnacentral:SRP_RNA from 1 species